GGAAUUUUGCGCAAUGGGGGAAACCCUGACGCAGCAACGCCGCGUGAAUGAAGAAGCCCUUCGGGGUGUAAAGUUCUGUCAGUAGGGAAGAACAAAUGACUGUACCUACAGAGGAAGCAUCGGCUAACUCCGUGCCAGCAGCCGCGGUAAUACGGGGGAUGCAAGCGUUGUCCGGAAUCAUUGGGCGUAAAGAGUUCGUAGGUGGUUUGUUAAGUUAGGUGUUAAAGACUGAGGCUCAACUUCAGUAAGGCACUUGAUACUGGCAGACUUGAAUGCGGUAGAGGUAAAGGGAAUUCCUGGUGUAGCGGUGAAAUGCGUAGAUAUCAGGAGGAACAUCGGUGGCGUAAGCGCUUUACUGGGCCGUAAUUGACACUGAGGAACGAAAGCCAGGGUAGCAAAUG
rnacentral:rRNA from 1 species